rnacentral:rRNA from 1 species
AUGCCUACACACCUGACUGCAACUAGUCUUGUGUUUUUGGUCGGAGAGGGAAGGGGGGUAGUUGCAUGCCCAACGGUAGGCUUGGAACUACAAGUGCCGCCUUCGACUGCAACUCCACAUGUCGCCCUCUACUUCAACUACAUGCCCACACACCCUGAUAGCAACUGCAUGCGCACACACUCCCUCCCCCGCCCCUCACGCCUACUUACAAAACAAAUGCCAAUUGAUUAUAGUUUGACUUAUGUAAUUUCAGUUCAGAUUCACCUUAUCCCCCCAACCCCAUUAUCUAUUUCAGAUUCUCAUUAUGUACUUGAAUUGUUACUUGUACAUACCCAAACAAAAAUCUAA